rnacentral:pre_miRNA from 1 species
UUUACUCGAAUUUGUAUGGAGUUUGAACGUUUGCCUACGUUUGCCGCUAGGGGCGCUGUUCCAACUCCAUACAAAUUUGAGUUA